GAUGAACGCUGGCGGCGUGCUUAACACAUGCAAGUCGAACGGAAAGGCCCCUGCUUGCAGGGGUACUCGAGUGGCGAACGGGUGAGUAACACGUGGGUGAUCUGCCCUGCACUUCGGGAUAAGCCUGGGAAACUGGGUCUAAUACCGGAUAGGACCACCUUCUGGAUGGUGUGGUGGAGAGUGUUUCGGCGUGGGAUGAGCUCGCGGCCUAUCAGCGUGUUGGUGGGGUAAUGGCGUACUAAGGCGUCGACGGGGAGUCGGCCUGCGAGGGUGUACGGCGACAUUGUGGGUGAGAGACGGCGCAGAGUCCUACGGGGGGCAGCAGAGGGGAGUAUUGCGCAAUGGGGGCGGGCCUGAUGUAGCGCAGCCGCGUGGGGGAUAUCGGCGUUCGGGUUGUAUACUCCGUUCGCUAGUGACAAGGCGUUUGUGUGACGGUACCUGGUGAAGAAGCACCGGCUAACUACGUG
rnacentral:rRNA from 1 species